UCCUACGGGGGGCAGCAGUGGGGGAUAUUGGACAAUGGGGGGAACCCUGAUCCAGCGACGCCGCGUGAGUGAAGAAGUAUUUCGGUAUGUAAAGCUCUGUCAGCAGGGAAGAAAGCAAUGACGGUACCUGACCAAGAAGCCCCGGCUAACUACGUGCCAGCAGCCGCGGUAAUACGUAGGGGGCAAGCGUUAUCCGGAUUUAUUGGGUUUAAAGGGUGCGUAGGCGGAAUGCCAAGUCAGCGGUAAAAUCGCGGGGCUCAACCUCGCUCCGCCGUUGAAACUGGCGUUCUUGAGUGGGCGAGAAG
rnacentral:rRNA from 1 species